rnacentral:rRNA from 1 species
UACGUAGGGACCGAGCGUUGUCCGGAUUCAUUGGGCGUAAAGGGCUCGUAGGCGGCUGCUCAAGUCGAAUGUGAAAACUCGAGGCUCAACCUCGAGCCUGCAUUCGAUACUGGGCGGCUAGAGUCUGGUAGGGGGAUCUGGAAUUCCUGGUGUAGCGGUGGAAUGCGCAGAUAUCAGGAGGAACACCGGUGGCGAAGGCGGGAUCCUGGGCCAGUACUGACGCUGAUGAGCGAAAGCGUGGGGAGCAAACGGG